rnacentral:rRNA from 1 species
AUGGCGAUUAGUCAGAAAAAUGUAAGCUUUGUAUGCUUAGCAGCCCUCAUGUUGGUGAUGGCGACCAUUAUGUUGUCAUGUGAUGCUGAUCCAAAAGAAUCAUGCUACGGGCUUGAAGAUGGAUGCGCCGAAUUGAAAUGCAAGGAAUAUUGUGUGGACUAUGGUUACACCAAGGGAUCUUAUUGCCAGAAUGACGCUUUAUGUUGUUGUUUGACUGCUGCCAAGCCCAAGGUGGAAUUCACCCGUCGUCGUGAUUGA